GAACUGACAAUCCUAGAAGUAGAAUGCUGGAGUAACGACCAGCAAUGCUUCCCCUAAUACUCCGACUGGCAUUAUCCAACACAAUGAUAGUGUCAGAAGCUCGGUGAAGUCGGCAGAAAUCAUCCUAAACUCAAAAUGAGCAUGGCUGAUGAUAUGCCGGGGGUCUAUAA
rnacentral:ncRNA from 1 species